UACUUAGGGUUAUUAUGUGACAUCUGAAUUACUUUAUUUAUUAUUUACCUGAGUUAAAUGUGAUACCAGAGGCCUCAACAUGCUCAGCCACAGGAGCUGUUCUGUCACGCCGUUAGAGGACACUAAUGUCCCUUUUCCACCGAGGGGUUGUGGAGAGGGUCAGGGGACUGUAAUUGAAGUGACGUUGCCUUCUUUAUGUUAGCUUGCUGAGAGAGGAGAGGUUGUUGUUGAAAUGAGGCCUUCUUUAUGUUAGCUUGCUGUGUGACUGAGAGAGGAGAGGUUGUUGUUGAAAUGAGGCCUUCUUUAUGUUAGCUUGCUGUGUGACUGAGAGAGGAGAGGUUGUUGUUGAAAUGAGGCCUUCUUUAUGUUAGCUUGCUGUGUGACAGAGAGGAGAGGUUGUUGUUGAAAUGAGGCCUUCUUUAUGUUAGCUUGCUGUGUGACAGAGAGGAGAGGUUGUUGUUGAAAUGAGGCCUUCUUUAUGUUAGCUUGCUGUGUGACAGAGAGGAGAGGUUGUUGUUGAAAUGAGGCCUUCUUUAUGUUAGCUUGCUGUGUGACAGAGAGGAGAGGUUGUUGUUGAAAUGAGGCCUUCUUUAUGUUAGCUUGCUGUGUGACUGAGAGAGGAGAGGUUGUUGUUGAAAUGAGGCCUUCUUUAUGUUAGCUUGCUGUGUGACAGAGAGGAGAGGUUGUUGUUGAAAUGAGGCCUUCUUUAUGUUAGCUUGCUGUGUGACUGAGAGAGGAGAGGUUGUUGUUGAAAUGAGGCCUUCUUUAUGUUAGCUUGCUGUGUGACGAGAGAGGAGAGGUUGUUGUUGAAAUGAGGCCUUCUUUAUGUUAGCUUGCUGUGUGACAGAGAGGAGAGGUUGUUGUUGAAAUGAGGCCUUCUUUAUGUUAGCUUGCUGUGUGACUGAGAGAGGAGAGGUUGUUGUUGAAAUGAGGCCUUUAUGUUAGCUUGCUGUGUGACUGAGAGAGGAGAGGUUGUUGUUGAAAUGAGGCCUUCUUUAUGUUAGCUUGCUGUGUGACUGAGAGGAGAGGUUGUUGUUGAAAUGAGGCCUUCUUUAUGUUAGCUUGCUGUGUGACAGAGAGGAGAGGUUGUUGUUGAAAUGAGGCCUUUAUGUUAGCUUGCUGUGUGACUGAGAG